rnacentral:rRNA from 1 species
CUGCGGCAUGCUUUACACAUGCAAGUCGAACGGCAGCACGGGCUUCGGCCUGGUGGCGAGUGGCGAACGGGUGAGUAAUAUAUCGGAACGUACCCAAGAGUGGGGGAUAACGUAGCGAAAGUUACGCUAAUACCGCAUACGAUCUAAGGAUGAAAGCAGGGGACCGCAAGGCCUUGUGCUCCUGGAGCGGCCGAUAUCUGAUUAGCUAGUUGGUGAGGUAAAGGCUCACCAAGGCGACGAUCAGUAGCUGGUCUGAGAGGACGACCAGCCACACUGGAACUGAGACACGGUCCAGACUCCUACGGGAGGCAGCAGUGGGGAAUUUUGGACAAUGGGCGCAAGCCUGAUCCAGCAAUGCCGCGUGAGUGAAGAAGGCCUUCGGGUUGUAAAGCUCUUUUGUCAGGGAAGAAACGGUAGGGGCUAAUAUCCUUUGCUAAUGACGGUACCUGAAGAAUAAGCACCGGCUAACUACGUGCCAGCAGCCGCGGUAAUACGUAGGGUGCAAGCGUUAAUCGGAAUUACUGGGCGUAAAGCGUGCGCAGGCGGUUUUGUAAGUCUGACGUGAAAGCCCCGGGCUCAACCUGGGAAUUGCGUUGGAGACUGCAAGGCUUGAAUCUGGCAGAGGGGGGUAGAAUUCCACGUGUAGCAGUGAAAUGCGUAGAGAUGUGGAGGAACACCGAUGGCGAAGGCAGCCCCCUGGGUCAAGAUUGACGCUCAUGCACGAAAGCGUGGGGAGCAAACAGGAUUAGAUACCCUGGUAGUCCACGCCCUAAACGAUGUCUACUAGUUGUCGGGUUUUAAUUAACUUGGUAACGCAGCUAACGCGUGAAGUAGACCGCCUGAGG